AAAUUGAAGAGUUUGAUCAUGGCUCAGAUUGAACGCUGGCGGCAGGCCUAACACAUGCAAGUCGAACGGUAACAGGAAGCAGCUUGCUGCUUUGCUGACGAGUGGCGGACGGGUGAGUAAUGUCUGGGAAACUGCCUGAUGGAGGGGGAUAACUACUGGAAACGGUGGCUAAUACCGCAUAAUGUCGCAAGACCAAAGAGGGGGACCUUCGGGCCUCUUGCCAUCAGAUGUGCCCAGAUGGGAUUAGCUUGUUGGUGAGGUAACGGCUCACCAAGGCGACGAUCCCUAGCUGGUCUGAGAGGAUGACCAGCCACACUGGAACUGAGACACGGUCCAGACUCCUACGGGAGGCAGCAGUGGGGAAUAUUGCACAAUGGGCGCAAGCCUGAUGCAGCCAUGCCGCGUGUAUGAAGAAGGCCUUCGGGUUGUAAAGUACUUUCAGCGGGGAGGAAGGUGUUGCGGUUAAUAACCGCAGCAAUUGACGU
rnacentral:rRNA from 1 species